rnacentral:rRNA from 1 species
UACGUAGGCAGCGAGCGUUGUUCGGAAUUACUGGGCGUAAAGCGCACGUAGGCGGCUUUGUAAGUUAGAGGUGAAAGCCCGGGGCUCAACCCCGGAAUUGCCUUUAAGACUGCAUCGCUUGAAUCCAGGAGAGGUGAGUGGAAUUCCGAGUGUAGAGGUGAAAUUCGUAGAUAUUCGGAAGAACACCAGUGGCGAAGGCGGCUCACUGGACUGGUAUUGACGCUGAGGUGCGAAAGCGUGGGGAGCAAACAGG